GCGGGAUUGAGCCCAGAAGCCACGGCGAGCCCGAGCAGAGGAGAAGAGGCAGCCGGGCAGCCUGAGCGGAGCAAUCAGAUCGGCGGGGACGGCCUGCAGCUCCCGCGCGCAGGGAAAGGGAAGAAGUCCCCCCACUAUGAAGUGAAUUCACAAACUUGGAAGAAGCCACUUUCACAAGAUGCACAGAUCUCAACGGGAGGACACAGAAAACAUGAAAAAGCAAGAAAAUGAGACGCCUCCAAAGGAACCCAGUAAUUCUCCAGCAGCAGAUCCCAAUCCAAAAGAAACAGAUACUUUGGAUAGAGAAUUGAACAUAUGGAUUAUACGGUCCAUGGGCAAGAUGCAAGCAUCAUUUGAAAAAGAACAGAGAAAAAAGAUGGAAGCAGUUGCAGGUCUGCAGGAACAAAUUAUCAACUCCAGUGAUAUUCUUAAAAGCAACCUAACAACACUUCUGAAACUGAAGAAAUCACUGGAUGAAAUACAAAGUAAACUCAAAAGCUUCAAUGACAGACCAGAACAAGUAGAAGAAAAACUCAAAACUUGAAAUCUGAAGCAUGUUUCUUAAAGAUUUAAAGGGUUAUACUCUGGCCAUUAAUAUGAAGGAAAUCUGCUAGGUUAAUUUUUAUACUGGGGUCUUGGAUAAUCAUUAAAGUGUAAUGAGAAUAA